GACAAACGCUGGCGGCGUGCUUAACACAUGCAAGUCGAACGGAAAGGCCCUGCUUUUGUGGGGUGCUCGAGUGGCGAACGGGUGAGUAACACGUGAGUAACCUGCCCUUGACUUUGGGAUAACUUCAGGAAACUGGGGCUAAUACCGGAUAGGAGCUCCUGCUGCAUGGUGGGGGUUGGAAAGUUUCGGCGGUUGGGGAUGGACUCGCGGCUUAUCAGCUUGUUGGUGGGGUAGUGGCUUACCAAGGCUUUGACGGGUAGCCGGCCUGAGAGGGUGACCGGCCACAUUGGGACUGAGAUACGGCCCAGACUCCUACGGGAGGCAGCAGUGGGGAAUAUUGCACAAUGGGCGGAAGCCUGAUGCAGCAACGCCGCGUGCGGGAUGACGGCCUUCGGGUUGUAAACCGCUUUCGCCUGUGACGAAGCGUGAGUGACGGUAAUGGGUAAAGAAGCACCGGCUAACUACGUGCCAGCAGCCGCGGUGAUACGUAGGGUGCGAGCGUUGUCCGGAUUUAUUGGGCGUAAAGGGCUCGUAGGUGGUUGAUCGCGUCGGAAGUGUAAUCUUGGGGCUUAACCCUGAGCGUGCUUUCGAUACGGGUUGACUUGAGGAAGGUAGGGGAGAAUGGAAUUCCUGGUGGAGCGGUGGAAUGCGCAGAUAUCAGGAGGAACACCAGUGGCGAAGGCGGUUCUCUGGGCCUUUCCUGACGCUGAGGAGCGAAAGCGUGGGGAGCGAACAGGCUUAGAUACCCUGGUAGUCCACGCUGUAAACGGUGGGUACUAGGUGUGGGGUCCAUUCCACGGGUUCCGUGCCGUAGCUAACGCUUUAAGUACCCCGCCUGGGGAGUACGGCCGAAAGGCUAAAACUCAAAGGAAUUGACGGGGCCCCGCACAAGCGGCGGAGCAUGCGGAUUAAUUCGAUGCAACGCGUAGAACCUUACCUGGGUUUGACAUGGAUCGGGAGUGCUCAGAGAUGGGUGUGCCUCUUUUGGGGUCGGUUCACAGGUGGUGCAUGGCUGUCGUCAGCUCGUGUCGUGAGAUGUUGGGUUAAGUCCCGCAACGAGCGCAACCCUUGUUCACUGUUGCCAGCACGUUAUGGUGGGGACUCAGUGGAGACCGCCGGGGUCAACUCGGAGGAAGGUGGGGAUGACGUCAAGUCAUCAUGCCCCUUAUGUCCAGGGCUUCACGCAUGCUACAAUGGCUGGUACAGAGAGUGGCGAGCCUGUGAGGGUGAGCGAAUCUCGGAAAGCCGGUCUCAGUUCGGAUUGGGGUCUGCAACUCGACCUCAUGAAGUCGGAGUCGCUAGUAAUCGCAGAUCAGCAACGCUGCGGUGAAUACGUUCCCGGG
rnacentral:rRNA from 1 species